AGCAGUCGCCGCGGGAAUACGUAGGGUGCAAGCGUUAAUCAGAAUUACUGGGCGUAAAGCGUGCGCAGGCGGUUAUAUAAGACAGAUGUGAAAUCCCCGGGCUCAACCUGGGAACUGCAUUUGUGACUGUAUAGCUAGAGUACGGCAGAUGGGGAUGGAAUUCCGCGUGUAGCAGUGAAAUGCGUAGAUAUGCGGAGGAACACCGAUGGCGAAGGCAAUCCCCUGGGCCUGUACUGACGCUCAUGCACGAAAGCGUGGGGAGCAAACAGGAUUAGAUACCCCAGUAGUCCCUGUCUCUUAUAC
rnacentral:rRNA from 1 species